GGAAUUUGCUGAGUAAAGCUAAACUCACUCACUCACUCAUCCAUAUACUGUUAUCCACCCUUAGUGCUCCAACUUCUAAAUGCCAACAAGUUAAGAUGAUGUUUGUUUUCCACUGCACUAUCCCAGAUAAUGGCCCACAUACUUGAGCCAGAAAUAUUGUCAGAAGUAACGCCAUCGUUUCAAUUUCCAGGGAAACACAUUAAUAACAGUUAUGGAGGCUGCGGUAAGGUAGUGCCAAUCUAAUAUGGUACAAAAAGAAGGCAAUGGAAGCAAGAGAAUUGUGGAAAUGCUACGCUCGACAAUUAACUGUAUGAAGAUGUAUGAAAAUGUUGAUAUCGGG